rnacentral:rRNA from 1 species
AACGAACGCUGGCGGCAUGCCUAACACAUGCAAGUCGAACGAGAUCUUCGGGUCUAGUGGCGCACGGGUGCGUAACGCGUGGGAAUCUGCCCUUUGGUUCGGAAUAACAGUUGGAAACGACUGCUAAUACCGGAUGAUGACGAAAGGCCAAAGAUUUAUCGCCAGAGGAUGAGCCCGCGUAGGAUUAGCUAGUUGGUGUGGUAAGGGCGCACCAAGGCGACGUUCCUUAGCUGGUCUGAGAGGAUGAUCAGCCACACUGGGACUGAGACACGGCACAGACUCCUACGGGAGGGAGCAGUGGGGAAUAUUGGACAAUGGGCGAAAGCCUGAUCCAGCAAUGCCGCGUGAGUGAUGAAGGCCUUAGGGUUGUAAAGCUCUUUUACCCGGGAUGAUAAUGACAGUACCGGGAGAAUAAGCUCCGGCUAACUCCGUGCCAGCCGCCGCGGUAA